rnacentral:rRNA from 1 species
GUAGGGAAUAUUAGUAAUGGGCGAAAGCCUGAACUAGCAACGCCGCGUGUGCGAAGAAGGCCUUCGGGUUGUAAAGCACUUUUUGAGAGGAUGAGGAAGGACGGUACUCUCAGAAUAAGUCUCGGCUAACUACGUGCCAGCAGCCGCGGUAACACGUAGGAGGCGAACGUUAUCCGGAUUUACUGGGCGUAAAGCGCGUGUAGGUGGUUUGGUAAGUAGGGCGUGAAAGCUCCUGGCUCAACUGGGAGAGGCCGUUCUAAACUGCCGAACUAGAGGAUGGUAGAGGGAGGUGGAAUUCCGGGUGUAGCGGUGGAAUGCGCAGAUAUCCGGAGGAACACCAGUGGCGAAAGCGGCCUCCUGGACCACUCCUGACACUCAGACGCGAAAGCUAGGGUAGCAAACGGGAUUAGAUACCCCUGUAGUCC